rnacentral:rRNA from 1 species
GGGGGGCACAGUAGGGAUCUUCCACAAUGGACGCAAGUCUGAUGGAGAACGCCGCGUGAGUGAAGAAGGUUUUCGGAUCGUAAAGCUCUGUUGUUGGUGAAGAAGGACAUGGGUAGUAACUGAUCUAUGUUUGACGGUAAUCAACCAGAAAGUCACGGCUAACUACGUGCCAGCAGCCGCGGUAAUACGUAGGUGGCAAGCGUUGUCCGGAUUUAUUGGGCGUAAAGCGAACGCAGGCGGGAGAACAAGUCAGCUGUGAAAGCCCUCGGCUUAACCGAGGAACGGCAACUGAAACUGUUUUUCUUGAGUGCAGAAGAGGAGAGUGGAACUCCAUGUGUAGCGGUGAAAUGCGUAGAUAUAUGGAAGAACACCAGUGGCGAAGGCGGCUCUCUGGUCUGUAACUGACGCUGAGGUUCGAAAGCAUGGGUAGCGAACAGGAUUAGAUACCCUGGUAGUCCAUGCCGUAAACGAUGAGUGCUAAGUGUUGGGAGGUUUCCGCCUCUCAGUGCUGCAGCUAACGCAUAAGCACUCCGCCCUGGG